AUGGUAGCUUGCUACCAGGCGUCGAGCGGCGGACGGGUGAGUAAUACUUAGGAAUCUACCUAGUAGUGGGGGAUAGCACGGGGAAACUCGUAUUAAUACCGCAUACGACCUACGGGAGAAAGGGGGCAGUUUACUGCUCUCGCUAUUAGAUGAGCCUAAGUCGGAUUAGCUAGAUGGUGGGGUAAAGGCCUACCAUGGCGACGAUCUGUAGCUGGUCUGAGAGGAUGAUCAGCCACACCGGGACUGAGACACGGCCCGGACUCCUACGGGAGGCAGCAGUGGGGAAUAUUGGACAAUGGGGGAAACCCUGAUCCAGCCAUGCCGCGUGUGUGAAGAAGGCCUUUUGGUUGUAAAGCACUUUAAGCAGUGAAGAAGACUCUUCGGUUAAUACCCGGAGACGAUGACAUUAGCUGCAGAAUAAGCACCGGCUAACUCUGUGCCAGCAGCCGCGGUAAUACAGAGGGUGCAAGCGUUAAUCGGAAUUACUGGGCGUAAAGCGAGCGUAGGUGGCUUGAUAAGUCAGAUGUGAAAUCCCCGGGCUCAACCUGGGAACUGCAUCUGAAACUGUUAGGCUAGAGUAGGUGAGAGGGAAGUAGAAUUUCAGGUGUAGCGGUGAAAUGCGUAGAGAUCUGAAGGAAUACCGAUGGCGAAGGCAGCUUCCUGGCAUCAUACUGACACUGAGGCUCGAAAGCGUGGGUAGCAAACAGGAUUAGAUACCCUGGUAGUCCACGCCGUAAACGAUGUCUACUAGUCGUUGGGUCCCUUGAGGACUUAGUGACGCAGCUAACGCAAUAAGUAGACCGCCUGGGGAGUACGGCCGCAAGGUUAAAACUCAAAUGAAUUGACGGGGGCCCGCACAAGCGGUGGAGCAUGUGGUUUAAUUCGAUGCAACGCGAAGAACCUUACCUGGUCUUGACAUAUCUAGAAUCCUGCAGAGAUGCGGGAGUGCCUUCGGGAAUUAGAAUACAGGUGCUGCAUGGCUGUCGUCAGCUCGUGUCGU
rnacentral:rRNA from 1 species